UUGGGACAAGGAAACACAAAAACAGAAUCGAAGCAAUCAUCACCCACGUGCAAUUAACAACGCAGAACUUUAAAACCUUGAAUGGCAAAUGGCUUGAUGGUAAAAUAAUGGACAGUAUGUUGGAGAUUUUAUGUGCCCAGAAAAAAAAUCAUGGUAAGGCAUUAUCCUGCUUGAUUGCAACAGAGUGGUGGCUGCAUGGAAAGAUCGGCAGUAAUGACUGGGAUAUGUAUUGAGAUAAUAAUUAGUUUUACAACCCGGCAAUACCAUAUAAAAUAAUUUGUGAUAAUUAUUCAGUUUAUAUGACUUUAGGUUAAAGAACUGUUUGGCGUCAACCUUGUCACAUUUGUGAACACAGGCAUCCAAUGGUUAUUUCUGGUAAAAUCAAUGUUUCAAAUAAUUAUGUACUUGUUAAAUACUGUAGUGGUUGAUUGUGCUCUAGCACAGAAUUAAUGAUAUAAAGAUAGCUAAAUUUAUUCUAAUACAUAAAGAUUAAAUAUAAAGCA